rnacentral:rRNA from 1 species
UACGGAGGAUUCAAGCGUUAUCCGGAUUUAUUGGGUUUAAAGGGUGCGUAGGCGGUCGGAUAAGUUAGAGGUGAAAUCCCGAGGCUCAACUUCGGAAUUGCCUCUGAUACUGUUCGGCUAGAGAGUAGUUGCGGUAGGCGGAAUGUAUGGUGUAGCGGUGAAAUGCUUAGAUAUCGCGCAGAACCCCGAUUGCGAAGGCAGCGUACCGGCGCGCUACUGACGCUCAUGCACGAAAGCGUGGGUAUCGAACAGG